rnacentral:rRNA from 1 species
CAUUAUUGAAUAAACUUGGGCUGGGUUGUUGCUGGUCCUUAAGGACAUGUGCACAUCUUGCAUUAAACAAGAGCCACUUGUGCACUUUUGUAGACAUGAAAAAAUACCUCUCAAGGAGAAAAAACCUUGGUUUGGAGAUUGCUAGAAAGAAGUUCUAGAGCUUUUAUGCUAGCUAUCUUCAUCUUUCUAGUCUAUGUUACAUUUUUCAACAUACUCCUAAUAAAAAUAUAGUACAAUGUUAUUAGACAAGGACAUAUUGUGUCUUUAAAACAAGUACAACUUUCAACAAUGGAUCUCUUGGCUCUUGCAUCGAUGAAGAACGCAGCGAAAUGCGAUAAGUAAUGUGAAUUGCAGAAUUCAGUGAAUCAUCGAAUCUUUGAACGCACCUUGCGCUCCUUGGUAUUCCGAAGAGCAUGCCUGUUUGAGUGUCAUGAAAUUCUCAACCUUUUCUAGCUAUUUUAUAUAUCUAGUCAGGGAUUGGAUUGUGGGAGGUUGCAGGCUUUUUGACAAGUCAGCUCUUCUUAAAAGUAUUAGCAAAGACCAUUUGCUGGAGUAGUCCUUUUGGUGUUGAUAAAGUUAUCUAUGCCAUUAGGAAGUCAGCUUUUAUUACACAUGGUUUAGCUUUCUAAUGGAGUCUACUUGGACAAAUUUUGACAAUUUAACCU